GGGGGAGCAGACUCCCCACUAUGCAGAGAGCCCGAUGUGGGGCUCCAUCCCAGGAGAUCAUGACCUGAGCCAAAGCCAGAGGAUUAACCCGCUGAGCCACCCAGGCCUCCCAAGGCAACUUGUUUCAACUCCCCUUCGCAGGUGAGAGAUUUGGCGCCCCAGGAUGUUAAGUUCACCCAAGUUAGCACGCUUACAGAGGAUUGGAGCUGGACCCCAGGACCUUCUGACUCCCAAACCAGUACCGUUAAGCUGGGGAUUGAAGGAGAAGCUCUAAUGUGGGCCAACCUUUGUUGAGGCUAGCAACCAGAAUUUGCAUCUGCAUUUCUUUAAUUAGAACAUGUUGUAUUUCCAAUUAUAAAAUUAAUUCUGGUCUAAUGUAGGUAUUUCAGAAAAUACUAAAAUAUAGGAAGGAAAGCAAAUCAACCCUAUUCCUACCACCCAGAGGUAAUAAUGAAGAUCUUGAUGUAGUUCCCCCACUCUUUUUUCUAUACCCACAUGUAAAGGCAGUUCGCAUAAGGCGAAUAAUCCCAAGCACACCAUUCUGUAUCAGGAGAUAGGAAGGGUCUGGCAGAUGCAAUUCAUGAACCCCUUGCUGAGACUGGACCCCCCAGGUGCCCCCAGCUUCAACAAACCCAGAUGACAGUUACCCUACCACUAGUCCAAUAGAAACCUUACCAGGUUGGGGAUUUGUGCAUUUCACCCAGUUACCAUUGGACAAACCCUGCUCUGAUGCUUUCCCUUCUCCCACUGUUCCUGUGUCUUUUAGAAGACCAAAUCAUUCCUUUGCCUGGAGUAUAGAGACUACAGAUGUCACACACACCUUCCAGGCUGCCCAACCCCAUCAGGAACAAAGCAUUCCCAGAGUGAAGUCCCCAGGAGGACAGAGGCAGUGCUACGGCUUAAAGCACAGAAUCUUACUGUUUCUUGGCCCAAGUCUGCUGCAGGACUCACGGAGGAGAGUGAAGAAACAAAGCCAUCUUUGAAAUCAAUUAUAAAGACCAAAACAAUGAUGAUGUCGUUUAUUUUUUUUAUUUGACACAGAGAGAACACAAGCAGGAGGAGCAUCAGAGUGAGAGGAAGAAGCAGGCUCCCCGAGAAGCCGGAAGCCCAACACUGGGGCUUAGUGUGGGGAGUCUCGGCUCAUGACCUGAGCCAAAGGAGUCUGCCAGGAAUCUCUCUCUGCUCCCCAGCCCCUCCAUUCAGAAUCCUCCUAUGAUUUCCGCCACGUCCCCCCUCCCCCGCCCCAGCCCCACUCUUCUGAUGGGGGCUGGUCUGCCAUGCAGAAUCCCAGAGUCCAAGGGCUGUGUCUUUCAACCAUUCCUCUGUCCCUGGCACUCACUGAACACAGUGCUCUGCACACAGUAGGCUGUGUUAGUCUGCUUGGGCUUCUGUAACAAAAACACUGAAGACUGGGUGGCCUAUAAGCAACGGAAAUUUAUUUCCCACAGUAUCGGGGGCCGGGAAGUGCAAGACCAAGGUGCCAACAGAUUCGGUGUCUGGUGAGAGCGCACCUCCUGGUUUGCAGACAGCCAUUUUCUUUCUGUGUCCUCUUAGGGUGGACGGGACUGAGGGAUUUCUCUUCAGGUCUCAUUUGUAAGGGCAAGGAUCCUAUUCAUAGGGCUUCCACCCAGGUAACCUAUUCACCUUACAAAGGCCUCACCUCCUCCUACUAUCACCUUAGGGGUGAGGUUUUAAUGUACGAAUUUUGGAGGGACACAUUCGGUCUAGAGCACAGGUGCUCUGAAAGAAAUGAAUGAAUUAAUAAAACCGUCCAGUAUUGCCACAGAUAUAUACAGAUGAAAAGAAUAUCUGGUGUGAUCCAGAGAGUUCACUCAUUAAAAAUUCAGUAAAAGAGGCAAAGGUAUGUAAAAGUAGAAGAAUGUGUACUGCAGUACCUUUUAAUGGCAGAACGCCAGAAAGAAUCCAAAUGCCCAACAAGCGAGAGAACAGAGGGACCAAUUCCAAUAUAUUCUUAAAGGGAAGGUACCACACGGCCGUGAAAAGUAAUGAACUAGAACUCUAUGCAUCAGCUUGGAUAAAUCUCAGAAAUUAGAGCAUUGAGUAAAAAAACCAAAAAGCUGGCUGCAAGAUAAUAAAUAAGCUAAUUGCAAAAGGACACAUACAUAAUACUAGUUCAUAAAAUUCAGAACUAUGGAAGACAAUUCAGUAUAUUUUUAUGAGCACCUACAUGUACAGUAAAAGCAGAGAAACUCUGAAUACCAAGUUCAGGAGAGAGUUUAUGGCUGUGGGGGGAGAAAGAGGGCAGCAAAGAUCCCAGAGCACUUUCAUUGUGUCUUUAAUGUUCUACUUCUGAUGCCGUUUGGUGGAUACAUAGUUUUAUUGUUUUUUGGAUUUUCUAUUGUAUGCCUGAAAUAUUUUAUUUUAUUUUUUAUUUUUAUUAUUUUUUUAAGAUUUUAUUUAUUUAUUUGAUGGAGAGAUCACAAGUAGGUGAGGAGGCAGGCAGGGGGUGGGGGGAAGGAGCAGGCUCCCUGCCAAGCAGCCCCGAAUGGGCUUGAUCCCAGGACCCUGAGAUCAUGACCUGAGCUGAAGGCAGAGGCUUAACCCACUGAGUCACCUAGGUGCCCCCCUGUAUGCCUGAAAUAUUUUAUUAAAGAAAAAAAACCCAAGCUAGCUGUUGAGAGUGAAGGCCUAAUUCCUAUCUCCAUUCAGAUAUUCGCUAUGUGUCUCGAACAAGCGAUUUAAUUUCUGAGCUUCGGUUUCCUCAA